rnacentral:SRP_RNA from 1 species
UUGUAGGCUUGGUCGGGAAGUUAGCCCCUUUCCUUUAUGCAAACGGGCUUUAUGGCAGACGACGGACAGCGAGUGAUAAAUGGUUAAGACAGGGUCUUUAAUCUUUUGUUGACACUUUGUCCGCUUCGAUCCUACAUUUGUGAACUGGGUCAGGUGGGGAACCAAGCAGCCCUAAUCAUUUGUCUGGGUGCUUAGCGGGUUGCAAAGCCGAGAAUGGUUGAAGGUAACUCUUCUUAAUUAUUUUGAGCGGAUUGUCUUGCCUACAU